GGUGCCAUGGUACAGCAACGUGAGUCCACGUGGAAAAUUUGAUCUGAGCAAAGUUCGGAUUUAGCUUUAGUUUUUUUCUUUCCUUUUUGUUUUUAAUCCAAUAUUCGUUGUUGCAGUCCUUGUUCAAAUGAAGGCCGAACGAUUUAUUUAACCAGGGCUGGGUUUAGGAAGGAGCAAGAGGGGGCCUGGCCCCCUCAAAUAAAUAUUUUGCCCCUACCCCAACCAAAUCCCCUAAGUAUAUUAUAUUUCACAUAUUUUUAUUAUCUCAUGCCACUUUCUUUUGCUCCACUUAUCACUGUCUUUAUCUCUUACUUGCUAAUUGCAGGAUACCAUGGUGCCUGGGCCUUUGUUGUGGACAUGCCGAAUGGUCUCAUUCAGUACAACUACAUUACGUAACUGUUAAGUUGUUUGUUAGGCUAAUAGGUUUUGUUUUAUUUCUUGAUUUUUUUUUAAUUUCCAAAGGGUACUAUAGAAUUUUUUAUGCCAUUUUUUUUCUCAAAAACAUCCCCCUAUAGGUACAGCGGAUACAUUGGUAGGAGACAGAGAGGAAGGCCAAAGAGGAGAUCCAUGGAUGCCGUGAGGGAAGACAUGCAGGUAGUUGGAGUCAGAGUAGAGGAUGCAGAGAACAGGGAAAGAUGGAAAUUAAUGACUCGCUGUGGCAACCCCUGAGAAGGGACAAGCCAAAAGGAGAAGAAGAAGAAGAAGA